UGUGAGUGAGUGACUGCUGGAGCAGAAAAACCAUCUGACAGAAACUCCUUAAAGGAGAAAAUCAACUCUCACACAGUAAAGGUGUCCAAGUGUCUGCUGCUUGAUUGACAGCUGUGUGGUCCCUGUCCUCUAAGCUGAUUGGUGUCUCCUAGGUGAUGUCCGUCCCACCCUGACGGUGCUGCCCCCUCCAGUGAGGAGCUGCAGCAGGGGAAGGCCACGCUCAUGUGCCUGGCCAACAAGGGCUUCCCCUCAGACUGGAGUCUGUCCUGGAAGGUGGACGGCAGCAGCAGCAGCAGCAGCAUCAGCUGGGAGGAGAGCAGGAGCCCCGGGGUGCUGAAGGACGGCCACUACAGCUGGAGCAGCACCCUGAGGCUCUCUGCAGACCACUGGGGGAAGGUGGGCUCUGUGACCUGUGAGGCCACCCAGGGCUCCCAGACUCCGCUCUCAGAGACACUGAGGAGAGACCAGUGUUCCCAGUUCUGACCUGACUCACUGGGACUCUGAUAAUGGUUUUACUCUGCUACUGCUCUCAGUCUGCACUCUCUCAUUAUCUGUCUAAAUCCUUCUUUACCUUCUCUCACUCUCUGA